AAACUGCGAAUGGCUCAUUAAAUCAGUUAUCGUUUAUUUGAUAGUACCUUACUACAUGGAUAACCGUGGUAAUUCUAGAGCUAAUACAUGCUAAAAACCCCAACUUCGGGAGGGGUGUAUUUAUUAGAUAAAAAACCAACGCCCUUCGGGGCUUCUUGGUGAUUCAUAAUAACUUUACGGAUCGCAUGGCCUUGCGCCGGCGACGGUUCAUUCAAAUUUCUGCCCUAUCAACUUUCGAUGGUAAGGUAUUGGCUUACCAUGGUUUCAACGGGUAACGGGGAAUUAGGGUUCGAUUCCGGAGAGGGAGCCUGAGAAACGGCUACCACAUCCAAGGAAGGCAGCAGGCGCGCAAAUUACCCAAUCCCGACACGGGGAGGUAGUGACAAUAAAUACUGAUACAGGGCUCUUUUGGGUCUUGUAAUUGGAAUGAGUACAAUUUAAACCUCUUAACGAGGAACAAUUGGAGGGCAAGUCUGGUGCCAGCAGCCGCGGUAAUUCCAGCUCCAAUAGCGUAUAUUAAAGUUGUUGCAGUUAAAAAGCUCGUAGUUGAAACUUGGGUCUGGCUGGCAGGUCCGCCUCACCGCGUGUACUUGUCCGGCCGGGCCUUCCUUCUGGAGAACCUCAUGCCCUUCACUGGGCGUGUUGGGGACCAGGACUUUUACUUUGAAAAAAUUAGAGUGUUCAAAGCAGGCCUUUGCUCGAAUACGUUAGCAUGGAAUAAUAGAAUAGGACGUGCGGUCCUAUUUUGUUGGUUUCUAGGACCGCCGUAAUGAUUAAUAGGGACAGUCGGGGGCAUCAGUAUUCAAUUGUCAGAGGUGAAAUUCUUGGAUUUAUUGAAGACUAACUACUGCGAAAGCAUUUGCCAAGGAUGUUUUCAUUAAUCAGUGAACGAAAGUUAGGGGAUCGAAGACGAUCAGAUACCGUCGUAGUCUUAACCGUAAACUAUGCCGACUAGGGAUCGGGCGAUGUUCUUUUUCUGACUCGCUCGGCACCUUACGAGAAAUCAAA
rnacentral:rRNA from 1 species